rnacentral:rRNA from 1 species
CAUCCGGAUUUAUUGGGCGUAAAGCGAGCGCACGCGGUUUUUUAAGUCUGAUGCGAAAGCCCUCGGCUUAACCGAGGAAGUGCAUCGGAAACUGGGAAACUUGAGUGCAGAAGAGGACAGUGGAACUCCAUGUGUAGCGGUGAAAUGCGUAGAUAUAUGGAAGAACACCAGUGGCGAAGGCGGCUGUCUGGUCUGUAACUGACGCUGAGGCUCGAAAGCAUGGGUAGCGAACAGGAUUAGAUACCCUGGUAGUCCAUGCCGUAAACGAUGAAUGCUAGGUGUUGGAGGGUUUCCGCCCUUCAGUGCCGCAGCUAACGCAUUAAGCAUUCCGCCUGGGGAGUACGACCGCAAGGUUGAAACUCAAAGGAAUUGACGGGGGCCCGCACAAGCGGUGGAGCAUGUGGUUUAAUUCGAAGCAACGCGAAGAACCUUACCAGGUCUUGACAUCUUUUGAUCACCUGAGAGAUCAGGUUUCCCCUUCGGGGGCAAAAUGACAGGUGGUGCAUGGUUGUCGUCAGCUCGUGUCGUGAGAUGUUGGGUUAAGUCCCGCAACGAGCGCAACCCUUAUGACUAGUUGCCAGCAUUUAGUUGGGCACUCUAGUAAGACUGCCGGUGACAAACCGGAGGAAGGUGGGGAUGACGUCAAAUCAUCAUGCCCCUUAUGACCUGGGCUACACACGUGCUACAAUGGAUGGUACAACGAGUUGCGAGACCGCGAGGUCAAGCUAACCUCUUAAAGCCAUUCUCAGUUCGGACUGUAGGCUGCAACUCGCCUACACGAAGUCGGAAUCGCUAGUAAUCGCGGAUCAGCACGCCGCGGUGAAUACGUUCCCGGGCCUUGUACACACCGCCCGUCACACCAUGAGAGUUUGUAACACCCGAAGCCGGUGGAGUAACCCUUUUAGGGAGCGAGCCGUCUAAGGUG